rnacentral:siRNA from 1 species
GAUGCAUACUUCUCACCAUUGAA